rnacentral:rRNA from 1 species
AUUGAACGCUGGCGGCAGGCUUAACACAUGCAAGUCGAGCGGGGUGAUGGUGCUUGCACUAUCACUUAGCGGCGGACGGGUGAGUAAUGCUUAGGAAUCUGCCUAUUAGUGGGGGACAACAUCUCGAAAGGGAUGCUAAUACCGCAUACGUCCUACGGGAGAAAGCAGGGGACCACUUGUGACCUUGCGCUAAUAGAUGAGCCUAAGUCGGAUUAGCUAGUUGGUGGGGUAAAGGCCUACCAAGGCGACGAUCUGUAGCGGGUCUGAGAGGAUGAUCCGCCAAACCGGGACGGAGACACGGCCCAGACUCCUACGGGAGGCAGCAGUGGGGAAUAUUGGACAAUGGGGGGAACCCUGAUCCAGCCAUGCCGCGUGUGUGAAGAAGGCCUUAUGGUUGUAAAGCACUUUAAGCGAGGAGGAGGCUCUUUUGGUUAAUACCCAAGAUGAGUGGACGUUACUCGCAGAAUAAGCACCGGCUAACUCUGUGCCAGCCGCCGCAGUAA